rnacentral:snRNA from 1 species
GUGCUUGCUUCGGCAGCACAUAUACUAAAAUUGGAACGAUACAGAGAUUAGCAUGGCCCCUGCGCAAGGAUGACUCGCAAAUUCAUGAAAAGAAUAGUUAAUACUU